UUGGCCGGGCGACGGUUGUCCCGGUUUAAGCGUGUAGGUGUGUGUUCCAGGUAAAUCCGGUUCACUUUAACACUGAGGCGUGAUGACGAGGCACUACGGUGCUGAAGUAACAAAUGCCCUGCUUCCAGGAAAAGCCUCUAAGCAUCAGGUAACAUCAAAUCGUACCCCAAACCGACACAGGUGGUCAGGUAGAGAAUACCAAGGCGCUUGAGAGAACUCGGGUGAAGGAACUAGGCAAAAUGGUGCCGUAACUUCGGGAGAAGGCACGCUGACACGUAGGUGAAGUGAUUUACUCACGGAGCUGAAGUCAGUCGAAGAUACCAGCUGGCUGCAACUGUUUAUUAAAAACACAGCACUGUGCAAACACGAAAGUGGACGUAUACGGUGUGACGCCUGCCCGGUGCCGGAAGGUUAAUUGAUGGGGUCAGCGCAAGCGAAGCUCCUGAUCGAAGCCCCGGUAAACGGCGGCCGUAACUAUAACGGUCCUAAGGUAGCGAAAUUCCUUGUCGGGUAAGUUCCGACCUGCACGAAUGGCGUAAUGAUGGCCAGGCUGUCUCCACCCGAGACUCAGUGAAAUUGAACUCGCUGUGAAGAUGCAGUGUACCCGCGGCAAGACGGAAAGACCCCGUGAACCUUUACUAUAGCUUGACACUGAACAUUGAGCCUUGAUGUGUAGGAUAGGUGGGAGGCUUUGAAGUGUGGACGCCAGUCUGCAUGGAGCCGACCUUGAAAUACCACCCUUUAAUGUUUGAUGUUCUAACGUGGACCCGUUACCCGGGUUGCGGACAGUGUCUGGUGGGUAGUUUGACUGGGGCGGUCUCCUCCUAAAGAGUAACGGAGGAGCACGAAGGUUGGCUAAUCCUGGUCGGACAUCAGGAGGUUAGUGCAAUGGCAUAAGCCAGCUUGACUGCGAGCGUGACGGCGCGAGCAGGUGCGAAAGCAGGUCAUAGUGAUCCGGUGGUUCUGAAUGGAAGGGCCAUCGCUCAACGGAUAAAAGGUACUCCGGGGAUAACAGGCUGAUACCGCCCAAGAGUUCAUAUCGACGGCGGUGUUUGGCACCUCGAUGUCGGCUCAUCACAUCCUGGGGCUGAAGUAGGUCCCAAGGGUAUGGCUGUUCGCCAUUUAAAGUGGUACGCGAGCUGGGUUUAGAACGUCGUGAGACAGUUCGGUCCCUAUCUGCCGUGGGCGCUGGAGAACUGAGGGGGGCUGCUCCUAGUACGAGAGGACCGGAGUGGACGCAUCACUGGUGUUCGGGUUGUCAUGCCAAUGGCACUGCCCGGUAGCUAAAUGCGGAAGAGAUAAGUGCUGAAAGCAUCUAAGCACGAAACUUGCCCCGAGAUGAGUUCUCCCUGAGACUUUAGGUCUCCUGAAGGAACGUUGAAGACGACGACGUUGAUAGGCCGGGUGUGUAAGCGCAGCGAUGCGUUGAGCUAACCGGUACUAAUGAACCGUGAGGCUUAACCUUACAACGCCG
rnacentral:rRNA from 1 species